rnacentral:rRNA from 1 species
GACGAACGCUGGCGGCGCGCCUAACACAUGCAAGUCGAACGAGCGAGAGAGAGCUUGCUUUCUCGAGCGAGUGGCGAACGGGUGAGUAACGCGUGAGGAACCUGCCUCAAAGAGGGGGACAACAGUUGGAAACGACUGCUAAUACCGCAUAAGCCCACGGGUCGCAUCGACCAGAGGGAAAAGGAGCAAUCCGCUUUGAGAUGGCCUCGCGUCCGAUUAGCUAGUUGGUGAGGUAAUGGCCCACCAAGGCGACGAUCAGUAGCCGGCCUGAGAGGGUGAACGGCCACAUUGGGACUGAGACACGGCCCAAAACUCCUACGGGAGGCAGCAGUGGGGAAUAUUGCACAAUGGGGGAAACCCUGAUGCAGCGACGCCGCGUGAGUGAUGAAGUAUUUCCGGUAUGUAAAAACUCUAUCAGCAGGGAANAUAAUGACGGUACCUGACUAAGAAGC